UUCCGGUUACAACCAUUCCAGUCCUAAGAUGGCGGACCGGCGGCGACGGAGGAGGCGCGCGUCCCAGGACAGCGAGGACGACGACGGGUCCGGUUCGGGUUCGGACAGCGGGAGGUCGGCCUCCCCGACCACCAAGACCCGGGCGAAAGAGCCCGAGCCGGCGGAGGUCCCGGUGGUUCGACCCGAGGCCAAGAACAACGUGGAGUCUGAAUGUGAGAGUGAAGAUGGAGUCGGAGAAGCUGUCCUGUCCGACUACGAAAGUGCAGAUCCUGAGGACAACGGCUCCCACUCAGAGGGAGUGGAGGAGGAAGAGGAGGCCGAGAGCGACGAAGAAGCCCCAGCAGCACCAGCAGCCAGCGAGUCAGAGCCUCCGGCGCCCAGCGACCCGGCACCGGGAGAGGAGGGGGAGCGGGUAGAAGACAAUGAGGACGAGCAGCAGCAGCAGCAGCAGGAGGAACAGGAACAGGAGGAGGAGGAGGAGCAGCAGCAGCAGCAGCAGCAGCAGCAGGAGGAAGAGCCACAGAGGAAGGACAGGGGUGAGAGGGCGGAGGAGAGCAAAGCCGAGGAGAAGGAAAACCUCAGCGGAGAGAGACAGAGCGGCGACGGACAGGAGUCCACAGACGACCCAGAAACGAAGGUGGGGGACACACCGGGUCAAAAGCUUGACGAUGACGAGGACAGAAAAAACCCGGCGUACAUCCCUAGGAAGGGUUUGUUCUUCGAGCACGAUGUCAGAGGUCACGCUCAGGAGGAGGAGAGACCUAAAGGUCGGAAAGGUCGGCUGUGGAAAGACGAGGGUCGCUGGGAGCACGACAAGUUCAGGGAAGAAGAACAGGCGCCCAAGAGCCGCGAGGAGCUCAUCGCCAUCUAUGGUUAUGACAUCAGAAACGGCGGCGGCCCAGGAGACCGGUCGUACAGACAGCGCCGGCCAAGACAGAGUGUGUCCCCCGCCAGAGACAAGCGGUGGAGGGAGGGGGGGGGGGAGCGAGCAGUCCGAUCCUGGCAAGGAGGAGGUGGAGGUCAGAACCGAGGAGUUCCUCCACCUUCAUCCAUCCACACCUCCACAUCAUCUUCCUCCCUCCCUCUCUCUGCUCAGCGCAGCAACAACCCCUCCAGAGCGCCACCCCCCCGCAGCAGACCAUCGUACCAGAAUCAGAUGCACCUCCCACCUCAAUCCCACUACAGGAAUGAUGAAUCAAACGCACCCCAGAUGCAUCCCAGAGAGCGACAGGGCCCGAAAGCUCAGUCGGAGCCUGCAGGCGACAGGGGUGUGGUCAGCAGAGGAGGGCGUGGUGGUGGAGGAAGGGGCGGUCCUUACCUGGUCAUUGAGAACAGUGGCAGCAGCCAACCGGGUGUUGAGGAGAAGGACCUGAGCCUCAGCUCUGUGAAGCCUGGUGCUUUUCAGUCUGCUUCACCCAGACGACAGCAGAAGGAUCAACGAGCCGACCGCUCUGUGUCUGGAUCGGCUGCCUCCUCCUCUGACCCCCCCCUUCAGUCCUCAUCAGUGGCCAAUAGGGAAGCCUCUCCGCCCACAGAGCGGCCGGUGGAGCGUAAAUCUUACGCUCUGGCUCGCAGGACUCGCUCUCGUCCCACAGACCUGGGAAGCAAACAGCCGUCUGUGGACGAGACGACCGUGACCGGGAACGCCUCGUCCCCCGUCAGCGCGGGAGGGAGGAGCUGGACGGGAGACGCACCGGGUCAGACAGGAAGUGGAGGAGGAGGGGGGGGGCUGGCCGAGCUGGACGCAGACGUGGCUCGACUCAGUCUGGCUGGUCAGAGCUGGAACCAGAGUCCCACGUCCUACAUCCGCUCUGAGAUGAGAGGCCUCCCCAGCCCCCUGCACAUCCCCGCGGCCCCCCCACAGUUCUCCAGCAUGGAGGAGAUGGGCGUCGCCACUAAUCGGGCCAAACGCUACUCCUCCCAACGCCAGAGGGCCGUGCCUGAGCCGGCUCCGCCCAUGCACCUGGGAGUGAUGGACGGACACUACUACGAACCCAUGUCGUACCAGGGACCGAUCUAUGCUCAUGGGGAUGGCCCCACCCCCAUCCCACCACAGGGCAUGCUGGUGCAGCCUGAGAUGCACCUCCCCCACCCUGGUCUCCACCCACACCAAUCAGGUGCCCCGAUCGCUAACCCCGCCCUCUACGCCGGCCCACCUGUGGCUCUGUCACCCGGGCAACCGCAGCAACUCCUGCCACCUCCUUUCUACCCGCCACCGGGGGUCAUGACCUUCCCGUACCCCACCAUGUACCCCACCCCACAGGCUCAGGCCCAGGUGACCUAUGGAGGUGUGACGUACUACGACACGAUGCAGCAGCAGGCUCAGCCCAAGCCUUCGCCCCCCCGCCGCACGUCCCAGGCCGUCACUGUCAAGCCCCCCCCACCAGAGGUGCCCUUUGCCUCAGAGUGACCCCGCCCCUCUCCCCCCCCCCUGCCACCCGUCUCAGCCUCACUCUGAACUGAAAACCACAGGAGCGGGAUGGGGGGGGGCGGUGAGGCGGUGCGUUCCCCACCGGCAUCAACGAGCGAGGGACGUAUGGAUGAAAACGAACUCUGCGAGGGGCUCACAGCAUCAAUAUCCCCCCCCCCCCCCCCCCCCCCCCCCUGUUUCCGGCCCUGUGGCAGUUUGGCAGAUCCACCGUGAGGGCGACACAGGUUCAUUCCAGCCGAUGUGUUUUUAUCAACACUCAAGAAAGGAGUUCAGAGCCUGCGGCAUUGAACCCGAGCGUCGGCCGAGUCCAGGUGGUACCGGCUCGGUCCGGAGUGAAGUUUACUGUCGACGAGGAACCGAUCGGUCUGAGUUCAUGCUGUCACGGCGUUUUCUGUGUUUGCUUCACAGUGUUAGUCAGGUUCGUUAGACAGGAAACAGGAGGUUGGCAUGUUUACAUGAAACACGUGAACAAGGAAGAACCAACGUGAGAUUCUGUGGAUCGGUUGUUUUUAUAGUUUGAACUCAGCUCUUGUUCCUUUGAUGUUUCCACCGCGCUCGUACACACGCUGACCUCCUGAUGGGUUUAUUAGAGACAUGUCCUCAUAGAGAAUUGUCUGUGUCCAGGUUCUCUCUAGUUCUUCUUUGUCAGUAAACAUCUGUGUGAAACUUCAAUUGAACAGACGACAGGUUCAUCGAUCAAUAGAACAAAGAAGCCGCAGCCUGAUGAUGAUCAGCCGUGGUCAUCAUGUGACACGACGUGCCAAAGCAGAAAUCCAGUUUAAUUUAAUGAACCCGACAGUUUGCUGCGGCCUUUCCCCCGAGCAGCCGUCCGCCCGCUCGCCUCAGACAUCAGCCGCUCAGUCACUGAGAAACACAAACCCUACACCCUGACCCUACACCCUAACCCUGACCCUGACCCUGACCCUACACCCUAACCCUGCACCCUGACCCUGACCCUGACCCAACCCUGACCCUGCACCCUGACCCUGACCUGACCCUACACCCUGACCCUGCACCCUGACCCUGACCCUGACCCAACCCUGACCUAACCCUGACCUGACCCUACACCCUAACCCUACACCCUGACCUAACCGUGACCCAAACGCUGAGAGAACUCGUCUGAACGUCGUUUUGGAGAAAAUUCAAUUGUCGACACAAACGUUGCACAAACAAUGUCUGACCGGCGCUGCUGCUGCGUGGGCGGAGCCGCUGAUCGCCGCUGUAAAUAGAACCUAAAUGUAAAUAGACGCAGAUAAAAUAGAGCAGCAAACAUAUUCUAAUGAUGCUAGAGCAACAGAGAGAAAACACAUCGGCAGGGACUCGGAAUGUUACGAUGGAUUUCAUUUAGAGAAGUAGCGACGGCUAAAAGAUGAGUGGCUUUCUCUGUGUUUGUUUUUCUUUUUGACACGACCCUGUUGGAUGUUAAUACUGUUAUUAUUUUUUAUUAUUACUAGUGAGUGCAGGAGUGAAGUGACUGUAUUUGUUUCACAUGUCUGAGAAACGUUGUUUAUUUGACCUGCAGAAUCUUUUCCAGUAAACUGUUCAACUCUAACGCUCUGGUCUGUUUCCCUGUCGGUUUGAGAGGCUGUAAGUUUUAUUUUGAACGUCACUAUUCUUUUGAACUUUGGGUUAUAAUUCACAAAACCAUUUAUAAACUUUUCUUUCUGAAAUAAAGUUGAAGCUCUUUCCUCCAGACGAGGUGAGCACAUGAGUGAUGGACGUGUUGGGGUGAGGAGGCAGCAGCUGGUGAUGGAUCGUAGCAUCACACAACACAGACUGUUAACACGCCACCAUCUCCUUCAAUAUUAUAUAUACAUAUAUAUAAAUACAUUAAGCUAAAGUGCAAUGCAAGUGCAGCAGUGUUCAUGAAGUCAAAUAUAUUAUAACCAAACUGAUCAGAAUCACUUGAACAAACAUCAGUGAGAUAAGAACUGAAAUGACAGAAACAUCUUUACAAACAUAUUUAACAUCUUUGAUAAUUUGUUAUGUCCAUGUCCCAUCUGCUAACAUGGAGGAGGAGGGUUAUGACCUAUACUGCAGCCAGUCACCAGGGGGCAGUGUCAGUCUGGUUCAGCUCAUUUGUUCAUGGUGUGUUGAUCGACUGUUCUGAUUGGAUGUUCCUUAGUGGUUUUUUUUUAUGAAUCUACUUCCUGUGUUGAGCUGCUGUUUAAAGACGUGUUUGACCUUUGACCUGAGCUGACCCGACAGUUCACUGUGAUGAAGAGGAUGAAGAUGUGUAGUAUGUGUUGAACGUUGUCGUCCACUCAGAGGAUCAAUAAAGAUUAUAACUGAUGAUCAA